rnacentral:lncRNA from 1 species
UCACUAUUAUUAAAUGACAGAGCUGGGCUCAUUAUUAUUAAAUGACAGAGCUGGGCUCACUAUUAUUAAAGUACAGGGCUGGGCCCAUUAUGAUACAUUACAUGGUUCUUGAUGAUUUAUAUGUAUUGGUUUAAGAGGUAUUUCAUGCUAGAUGUAUUGGUAUGCAUAAGAUUCUCAAUGGGAAAGAACUUAUGUAUACGUUUACAGCUGGAUUGCAUAUGAUGUUUUAUGGAUUUUUAUUAUGUAUAUUGGAGCAUAUUCAUACAUUCACAGUUAUAUAAUGAUUUAAACAGCUUUAUGAAAUGUGUUGUUUACUUCAUCAGUCACACUGAGUUUGAUAAAUGAAGGAAUAAUAUUUUUAUGAAAUUAAGUGGCUGAUAUUGUAAGCAAUACAUAAAUAAAAGUUUGGCUCAUUUCGAAAACCCUCGGGGGAGUCUUCAUUCUUUAUGAACUGUUGACUCACCCUUUCUUCUUUCUUUCCCCUACGUAAUCAUGGAUGAUCUCUAUGAUUACAUAGAUGUUACUUUUGUUGCAGGUUGAGGGAUUAGCGUUGGUUCGAGUGCGGGUUUAGAAGUCAUUCAGGAGUAUGAUUGGCUAUUGCUAGCUGGUGGUUUGCUGACUUAAGUUUAGUCAGCCUUUGUUGAUUUGUAUUGAUGCUUAGUGUGGCAAGCCAUUAUUGAUGUAUUAUUUAUGGAGAUUCAGUUGUAAUGAUUUCAUGUAAUGUAAUAGAAGCUCUGGUUUAUUUGAUUGAUAAGUUUAUCAGGUCAUGGAAAGAUCAAAUUAUUAUAGGUGUUUCCGCUGCUUAUAUGGUUUAAUGAUGUAGUAGUAACGUCUUGUGGCUUAUUGAGGAAAGAAAAAUUUUAUUUCCACUUUUGCUCUAUGAAUUUAGGGCGAAGCGUUACAAUAAUUACUUAGUUAAUUUAAAACAACUCAAGAAUGGACCUAGAACAAAAAUAGAAUUAGCUACUUUAGUCCUAUGAAAUCUUGUCAUCCAAUAACUCAUCACCGUGACUAAAAAUCACAAAUAAUUUCACUAAAUUAAUGUGAUUGAACUCCAAUUCAUAUUUUGCCGUAAACAAUUAAUCCUUUAUGACGUAUUUAUUAAAUUACCAUAUUACCCCUCCAUGAAAUUUAUUCCGCGGUUGAACCAAAGAUGAUUAAUUGUCAUUUUGUUCAACACACCUAGAGUACCCGUGCAACGCCCAAUAAUUUAAAUUAAGGAAUUAUAAAUCACUUUAAAAGAUAAGGGUAAAAAAGUAAUUAAACGUAAGAAAAAUAAACACUUCGAAAACACAACAAAAAAAUAAGAAAAAUGAUUUCUCACCCUAAGCGUCC